GCUUGACAUGAAAAGUUGCAGUAUCUGUGUGAUAUAAAUAUGGAAGAAGGAUUUUGCACAUGGUUCAUACCCCCUAUGUUGAAGGAUCCCUUCAUUGGAGGAGGCUGCAUUGUUGACAGCAGUAAAAGAUUUGGAAGAAGGAGAACAUGGAAUGUUCUGCUGGGUGACACUUGCUGUGCUUGAUACCUAAUUCUCCCCAAGCCAUAUUUCAUGAGGCCCACAAACUGCAGCCAAGGAGAAAUUUAUUCAAACAUGCAUACCAAGAUCAGAAGUGAAAUUGACAGGUUCUUUUGUUUGCAUAAGAUUUGCAUGAUACAGGAAUUAACUGCCUGCAUUGUUAAUUGAAGAGGACUUGGCCAUGGGGAGACUGAGAAAGAUGCAUGAGUAUUUGACAACCACCAACCUCUAAGCCUCAAACACCAUGCACCAAGAGAAGGAGAACAAUUAUUGUGACAUUUAAUCUAAUGUCUACAUCCUAAUUUAUAAUUAUAAUACACAAUAGCCAAAAAAAAUUGAAUUCUCUCUCUCUCUCUCUCUCUCUCUCUCUCUCUCUCUCUCUCUCUUAACAAGUCUAACAUGUUUUUAUUAUGAAA